rnacentral:rRNA from 1 species
GAGAAUCCUACAGGCCGAAUAUCUAAGGUUUCCUCAGGAAGGCUCGUCCGCUGAGGGUUAGUCGGGACCUAAGCCGAGGCCGAAAGGCGUAGGCGAUGGACAAUCGGUUGAUAUUCCGAUACCACUACCAUCGUUAUUAUCGAGGGUGUGACGGAGAAGGAUAGUGUGUGCUAGCGGUUGGAAAUGCUAGUCUAAGCGUUUAGGGAGUUACGGUAGGCAAAUCCGCUGUAACAAUUCUGAGGCGUGAUGGGGAAGGCCAUAUAGGCCGAAGUACAUGAUUCCAUGCUUCCAAGAAAAGCAUCUAGAGAGAGAAGUAGUGCCCGUACCGCAAACCGACACAGGUAGAUGAGGAGAGAAUCCUAAGGCCGGCGGAAGAAUUGCAGUUAAGGAACUAGGCAAAUUGACCCCGUAAGUUCGCGAGAAGGGGUGCCUGCGAGAGCAGGCCGCAGAGAAUAGGCCCAAGCAACUGUUUAGCAAAAACACAGGUCUCUGCUAAAGCGUAAGCUGAUGUAUAGGGGCUGACGCCUGCCCGGUGCUGGAAGGUUAAGGGGAACACUUAGCGCAAGCGAAGGUGUGAACUUAAGCCCCAGUAAACGGCGGCCGUAACAAUAACGGUCCUAAGGUAGCGAAAUUCCUUGUCAGGUAAGUUCUGACCCGCACGAAUGGCGUAAUGACUUGGGCACUGUCUCAACUGCAAAUCCGGCGAAGUUGUAGUGCGAGUGAAGAUGCUCGCUACCCGCGAUUGGACGGAAAGACCCCGUAGAGCUUUACUGUAGCUUAGCAUUGAAUUCCGGUAUUGUCUGUACAGGAUAGGUGGGAGACUGGGAAACUAGGGCGUCAGCCUUAGUGGAGUCAACCUUGGGAUACCACCCUGACAGUACUGGGGUUCUAACAGGACGCCAUGAAUCUGGUGACUGGACAUUGUUAGGUGGGCAGUUUGACUGGGGCGGUCGCCUCCUAAAAAGUAACGGAGGCGCCCAAAGGUUCCCUCAGAACGGUCGGAAAUCGUUCGUAGAGUGCAAAGGCAGAAGGGAGCCUGACUGCGAGACAUACAAGUCGAGCAGGGACGAAAGUCGGGCUUAGUGAUCCGGUGGUACCUCGUGGGAGGGCCAUCGCUCAACGGAUAAAAGCUACCUCGGGGAUAACAGGCUGAUCUCCCCCAAGAGUCCACAUCGACGGGGGGGUUUGGCACCUCGAUGUCGGCUCGUCGCAUCCUGGGGCUGUAGUAGGUCCCAAGGGUUGGGCUGUACGCCCAUUAAAGCGGCACGCGAGCUGGGUUCAGAACGUCGUGAGACAGUUCGGUCCCUAUCCGUCGCGGGCGUAGGAAAUUUGAGAGGAGCUGUCCUUAGUACGAGAGGACCGGGAUGGACUGACCUCUGGUGCACCAGUUGUUCCGCCAGGAGCAUGGCUGGGUAGCUAAGUCGGGAAGGGAUAAACGCUGAAAGCAUCUAAGCGAGAAGCCUCCCUCAAGAUGAGAUUUCCCAUAGCAUAAGCUAGUAAGACCCCUUGAAGAACACAAGGUUGAUAGGUCAGAGGUGUAAGUGCGGUAACGUAUUUAGCUGACUGAUACUAAUAGGUCGAGGGCUUGAGC